AUUGAACGCUGGCGGCAGGCUUAACACAUGCAAGUCGAGCGGAGAUGAGGUGCUUGCACCUUAUCUUAGCGGCGGACGGGUGAGUAAUGCUUAGGAAUCUGCCUAUUAGUGGGGGACAACAUUCCGAAAGGAAUGCUAAUACCGCAUACGCCCUACGGGGGAAAGCAGGGGAUCUUCGGACCUUGCGCUAAUAGAUGAGCCUAAGCGGGAUUAGCUAGUUGGUGGGGUAAAGGCCUACCAAGGCGACGAUCUGUAGCGGGUCUGAGAGGAUGAUCCGCCACACUGGGACUGAGACACGGCCCGGACUCCUACGGGAGGCAGCAGUGGGGAAUAUUGGACAAUGGGCGGAAGCCUGAUCCAGCCAUGCCGCGUGUGUGAAGAAGGCCUUUUGGUUGUAAAGCACUUUAAGCGAGGAGGAGGCUACCUGGAUUAAUACUCUAGGAUAGUGGACGUUACUCGCAGAAUAAGCACCGGCUAACUCUGUGCCAGCAGCCGCCGUAAAAC
rnacentral:rRNA from 1 species